rnacentral:lncRNA from 1 species
UUUCCGUAUAGACAAACAGGUAUUGGCCUCGGAUAGAAGUUCUUUACCUGCUUAUCUCAUUGAAGCGUUAAUCUGUACACACGACUGGAUUCGAAGCUCGAGGAAGGAUGUUAUCAACGAAGAUUUAGCUACUUCUAUUCUGGAUGAUUUUUGAGAAGAUGUUUCUGAACAACGUGGAUGCGGAUCAAGGUUUGUUUCAUCAGUGAUGAUGAUAUUUUGUGUUGAAUGUUU